rnacentral:rRNA from 1 species
UAGUCCACGCCGUAAACGAUGAGUACUAGGUGCUGCGGGCAUUAGACCCUUGCAGUGCCGUAGCUAACGCGUUAAGUACUCCGCCUGGGAAGUACGGCCGCAAGGCUAAAACUCAAAGGAAUUGACGGGGGCCCGCUACAAGCGGUGGAGCAUGUGGUUUAAUUCGACACAACGCGCAGAACCUUACCUGGGCUGGAAAACGUUGGAAUACUCCAGAAACGGAGUAGUGCCCGCAAGGGAACCGACGUGCAGGUGCUGCAUGGCUGUCGUCAGCUCGUAGUCGUGAGAUGUUGGGUUAAGUCCCGCAACGAGCGCAACCCCGUAUCGUUAGUUGCUAGCAGUUCGGCUGAGCAACUCUAGCGAGACUGCCGGCGUCAAGCCGGAGGAAGGUGGGGAUGACGUCAAGUCCUCAUAGGCCCUUAUGUCCAGGGCUACACACGUGCUACAAUGAUCGGUACAGAGCGCUGCGAACUCGUGAGAGUAAGCCAAUCGCAAAAAGCCGA